UAAGGAAUAUUGGUCAAUGGACGGAAGUCUGAACCAGCCAUGCCGCGUGCAGGAUGACUGCCCUAUGGGUUGUAAACUGCUUUUGUCGAGGAAUAAACCUAUCUACGUGUAGAUAGCUGAAUGUACUCGAAGAAUAAGGAUCGGCUAACUCCGUGCCAGCAGCCGCGGUAAUACGGAGGAUCCGAGCGUUAUCCGGAUUUAUUGGGUUUAAAGGGUGCGUAGGCGGCACUUUAAGUCAGGGGUGAAAGACGGCAGCUUAACUGUCGCAGUGCCUUUGAUACUGAAGUGCUUGAAUGCGGUUGAAGACGGCGGAAUGAGACAAGUAGCGGUGAAAUGCAUAGAUAUGUCUCAGAACACCGAUUGCGAAGGCAGCUGUCUAAGCCGUUAUUGACGCUGAUGC
rnacentral:rRNA from 1 species